UGUUUUAGGAAAGGCCAUGCUGUGAAAUGAUCCUUUUAUCUUUAAAGCACUGACUCUGUGUUUUCCCAUCUCAACAUCAUCUCCAAAAUGUCCGAGUAAAUAAAUUCACAGCGUUUUCACAUCACAUGCAGCAUAGUAACAUACAAGCUGCAUGAAUCAGAGAGGUCGACUUAUAAAAUAGUUGCAGUACAUUCUUUAUUAAAACUAAAGAGAAAACAUAUGUUGAAAACAUAUAAACGUAUACGUAGACCUAUUUAUAUGUUUAUGUUUGAAAUGGCAGUGUAAUGAUGCGUGUAGCUUAAGUUCACACAGCAGCUUUCUUGUUUUCUUAUCACCAUGACAGCAACGUUUCGACAGAAGCCGCCUGGAUUAUCUCAGGUAGGUAACAACAGAGCCCACUAUGAAGUUGAUUUUAAUUUGUUUCUUCGUGUUGAUUUAAAAGCUUCUGGUUUUCAAGAAAGGGACAAUAUGAACGGUUUGGCCCAUGGUUGUCGAUGGUGCAAAAAUAAAACCAAGAAGUCCAGACCAAGGCAUCUGCACCAGAGCACCCUGAACCUGGGUGACACAGCACCCUGCUACAUCACCACCCAUGACCAGAGUUUCUCUGGCAGGUCGGCUGAUGGACGUCCUCUCACCUUUCUUCUGAGACCUCCCAGCUUCCCCUCACAGCAUCAGACCCAUCUGGAUCUCAGUAAUAACAUCGCCCCACUGCAGUGUCCACCUCUGUCACACAGUCAAGAAGUGCACAGGCCCAUACACACUGCUCCGAGAGCCAACCUGAAUGUGGAAAACUGGAUUCGGUAUCGCAGUGGGCAGACUGUCAGAGAGAUCACCAACCCACAGGAUCUAUCAGAGUACUGGACCACUUACAAAACUGACCACAGAUCUCCAGUAACUAACAUCUCAUCACAGCUAGCCGGCAGACCAACACAAUGGCAUCAGCACGAUAUUCUGACAGGUAGUAUUUAUUCUGCUGAACGCCAAAACUACAUCUUUGGCUGUUAUCAAUUUAUAAUAUUUUGUAUAUCAUCGCUGGUUAAACUAGUAUGUUCAAAAUCAUACAGCACUUAUUUUAGACUUACACUUAUUUGCAUUACAAACUGCAAAACUUAGUUUGACGGUAUUUUUCUGGUCACAGGGACUAACGGUGAUCAGUAAAGACACCGGUUACACCUGUA
ensembl:lncRNA